UGGGGAAUAUUGGACAAUGGGCGCAAGCCUGAUCCAGCCAUGCCGCGCGAGUGAUGAAGGCCCUAGGGUUGUAAAGCUCUUUCACCGGUGAAGAUAAUGACGGUAACCGGAGAAGAAGCCCCGGCUAACUUCGUGCCAGCAGCCGCGGUAAUACGAAGGGGGCUAGCGUUGUUCGGAUUUACUGGGCGUAAAGCGCACGUAGGCGGACUUUUAAGUCAGGGGUGAAAUCCCGGGGCUCAACCCCGGAACUGCCUUUGAUACUGGAAGUCUUGAGUAUGGUAGAGGUGAGUGGAAUUCCGAGUGUAGAGGUGAAAUUCGUAGAUAUUCGGGGGAACACCAGUGGCGAAGGCGGCUCACUGGACCAUUACUGACGCUGAGGUGCGAAAGCGGGGGGAGCAAACAGG
rnacentral:rRNA from 1 species